rnacentral:rRNA from 1 species
AAAGUGGAGCAAUCCAUGAGUACAGUGGCGUACGGGUGAGUAACACGUGGGUGAUCUACCUUUUAGUGAGGAAUAACCGAGGGAAACUUCGGCUAAUACCGCAUAAGCCUGAGAAGGGAAAGUCGAAAGACGCUGAAAGAGGAGCCCGCGGCCGAUUAGCUAGUUGGUGAGGUAAGAGCCCACCAAGGCAGAGAUCGGUAGCCGGCCUGAGAGGGCACACGGCCACACUGGCACUGAAACACGGGCCAGACUCCUACGGGAGGCAGCAGUGGGGAAUCUUGCACAAUGGGGGAAACCCUGAUGCAGCGACGCCGCGUGAGCGAUGAAGCCCUUCGGGGUGUAAAGCUCUUUCGUCAGGGAAGAUAGUGACGGUACCUGGAGAAGCAGCUGCGGCUAACUACGUGCCAGCAGCCGCGGUAAUACGUAGGCAGCAAGCGUUGUUCGGAGUUACUGGGCGUAAAGGGUGUGUAGGCGGUUCUUUAAGUUUGCUGUGAAAUCUCCCGGCUUAACCGGGAGGGUGCGGUGAAUACUGAGGGACUAGAGUACGGGAGAGGAAAGUGGAAUUCCUGGUGUAGCGGUGAAAUGCGUAGAUAUCAGGAGGAACACCGGUGGUGUAGACGGCUUUCUGGACCGACACUGACGCUGAGACACGAAAGCGUGGGUAGCAAACAGGAUUAGAUACCCUGGUAGUCCACGCCCUAAACGAUGCAUAUUUGGUGUGGGCAGUUCAUUCUGUCCGUGCCGGAGCUAACGCGUUAAAUAUGCCGCCUGGGGAGUACAGUCGCAAGGCUGAAACUC